rnacentral:lncRNA from 1 species
GCCCGAAGAAAAAAAGUGCCUUGUCCAAGUGGUAGAACUAGAAUUGAAUGCAGUCUUAGAGUCCAAGCUGUUUGCAUGUGUUUUUAAUAAUAAUAUUUUGUAACCCUGAUGCCUAUUCAAAAAUUGAAGCGAUCAGAAAUAAUAAUAGAUAACAUUUAAUGAGCACUGAUGAGUCCUAGUAACUGUUACAUGAAUCAUGUCGUUCUUUCGAGCCCAUCUUUUCUUGCCUAUUUGAGAACUUGGCUCUAACUGCUCUUUUUUGCAUCUUCAGUUUUUUCUUCUCUAUUGGAUCUUCCCUAUCAGUUCAUAAACAUGCUGCAGUGAUUGCCAUAAAAUCAUUUCAUGAUUUCAUUUUUUAAAAAAUCCUCCUUGACACCAAUCGGCAACCACCCCAUUUGUUUUCUUCUCUUUAUAACAAAAUUUCUGGGGAAAAAAAAUCUUUACAUCCAUUAUCUCCAUUUUCUUACCUUUUGUUCUUUUGUUUGUUUUUCCCACUUUAACCAGGAUUUGGUCCCAACCAAUACUAUGAAGUGGCUCUUGUUAGGUUUACCAGUGAUUCCUACCUUGCAAAAUUCGGUAGUCAAUAUUUAGUCCUCACUUCUGGUGAAAUUUGACAGAGUUGCUUGCUCUCAUUGAUUUGAGUCUUUAUGUCUUGGGAUGCCACACUCUCCUUGCCCUCUUCUUCUCAGUUUCUUUUGCAGACUACAAUUUCUGCCUGAGCUAAGCCAGACUCAAAGGGUUGAUCUGAGCUUUAAGAUUGGCAACAAAUUGCUCACAGUGUUGUCUCACAGAUUUAUCUGGGACUCCAAUGAACCAGAUGCUCAUUCAUUUGUAAUCACACCUAUGUUCUUGGAGAAAUGAAACAAAUACCAUUUUCCCUAUCACUGAACAAAGAUUCCUUAACUCAGGGGCCAGGAAAAGAUUGUUCUAGCUUAGGCCAAUCAUGACUGGCUGCAAUUAGGUAAUCUAAAAUCGAUCUGAACUUAUUUUUUCUCCUUUGUUACAAGAGAAGGUAUACCCUAUGUUAUUAAUGUUUCUUCCUAUUCUAUUUUAAAAAUAUGUAUUUUAAACUAUUAAUUGAGUGACUGCAAUGUGUUAGGCAUAGUGGAGGAAUUCAGAGAUGUGGUAAACUCGACUAUUGCCUAGAAGAUGCUCGCAAUAUAGUAGGAGAUUUUAAAAAACAAAUAGAACUUACAGGGCUGUAAAUGCUAUGCAAGUGGUAUGUGCCCCACACUAAAGGAGUUGUGUGAAGGGAGAGGUAUAUUUUGUCUAAAUGUUCCUUUAAAACUUCCCAGUGCAUGUGACACUUCAAGCAGGGCCUUGAAGGAUGGCAGAGCUAAGGAGGGGUGCAUUCUAGGGGAGGGGACAGCAUUAGGAAAGUCUUAGAGGUUACCCCAUGUCAUAAUAAAGGUCAUUCUUUAGGGAUGGCCUGAAUACAGGACUGCCAAUACCACCACUGGACGCUAGAUGUCACAAGUGAAAUGAAUUCUAGAUGGGUUCUACUUUUAAGAUAACUUAAUGGAACUUCUGAUUCACAAUACCAGAUGCAGAUCUCCGUACUCAGGCAAGGUCCGCAUACCAUGGCCUAAAUACCAAAGGUCAGGAAAAAGCAAAAAACAGCAACCUUGUAUCUGUUAUUUUCCAUUUACGUAAGGAGAGAUGGGACUUGGCCUCCUCACACAGUAGUGGAUUCACCAAGCAUAGGAUGGGAGUUCAGAUUCUGGGAAACAACACCCACCUCCCAACUCUGUGGCCCUCAGUUACAAUUCCUAAUAUUAUAGCUGUUCAGAACUGGGAUAGACUCCUGUAGUGAACUUGUCAUCAUUUCUUCAUUGUGACUGUUCUAGACGAAACGAGAGGAUUAGACUGUUACGUUAUAUUGAAAGCUGCAUAUAUUUUGACAGGAACUUAUUGAAUGAUCAUUUGUUUUGGGCAUUACAAAUGAAUAGUCUCUGUAUUAAACGAACUUAGAGUUUAGUGGAAGAGACAUUUACCAAACAAUAAACAGUAAAUCCUUACUUAGAGGAUGACUUAGACUUUCUUGUUCCUUCAUGUUAUUAAGUAGAGCUGCAAGCUAGUCAUCGCUGGGAUCAAGCAAAAACAAGCUCAGGACUCUGAGACACAGAGUCUGCAAAUAAGAAUGAGAUUAAGCUGUAGAGUGCUGUGAUUUAUAGGAUGGGCUGGAAUAUGAAGUUACGAAAGUUACACUCAAGGUUGUGGUCACUGAAACUUGGGGGAUGGCCGAGAUGAAGAAAAAAAGCUUUGAGAGAGAACGGAGGGGUGUGUGCAGGACUUUUGGGAUUGUCCUAAUCCAUGGCACAGGAGGAGAAUAAGGAUCCAACAAGAAAAACAGGAGCCAUAUGAGAAGAGAUCAGGAAAUUGAAUUGUCACAACUUCCACUGUGAUAAUUAGAUAUCAGAAUGAAUCAUUGUACCAGGCAGAUCAACCCUUUGAGUCUGGCUUAGCUCAGGCAGAAAUUGUAGUCUGCAAAAGAAACUGAGAAGAAGAGGGCAAGGAGAGUGUGGCAUCCCAAGACAUAAAGACUCAAAUCAAUGAGAGCAAGCAACUCUGUCAAAUUUCACCAGAAGUGAGGACUAAAUAUUGACUACCGAAUUUUGCAAGAAAGAUGAAGCAUUGGAAAGCACUGCAUAGCUCCAUGUUAUCAAUCAAUUAAUGUCUUCAGUCCUUUAAUGUCCUCUGGACAGCUGGGAUGCUUGGGAGAAGACUGUUGACAAGUCUUGUACGUGUGGAAGACACCAUUUUACUUACUUUCCCUUUAUUAUGGAAGGAACACAAGCCUAUCUUACAAAAAGAUACAUAGGACCCCGGAAGAACGAUUUUUAUUCUGAAUCUCAAUAAAAUAUUCUGUCACUUUG